UACGUAGGGCGCAAGCGUUGUCCGGAAUUAUUGGGCGUAAAGAGCUCGUAGGCGGUUUGUCGCGUCGGGAGUGAAAACUCAGGGCUCAACCCUGAGCGUGCUUCCGAUACGGGCAGACUAGAGGUAUGCAGGGGAGAACGGAAUUCCUGGUGUAGCGGUGAAAUGUGCAGAUAUCAGGAGGAACACCGGUGGCGAAGGCGGGUCUCUGGGCCGAUACUGACGCUGAGGAGCGAAAGCGUGGGGAGCGAACAGG
rnacentral:rRNA from 1 species